rnacentral:rRNA from 1 species
AGAGUUUGAUCCUGGCUCAGGAUGAACGCUGGCGGCGUGCCUAACACAUGCAAGUCGAGCGAGAAGCUUUUGAAGGAUCCUUCGGGUGACUGAUAAAGUGGAAAGCGGCAGACGGGUGAGUAACGCGUGGGUAACCUGCCCCAUACAAAGGGAUAGCCACUGGAAACGGUGAUUAAUACCAUAUAACACCAUAGUGUCGCAUGACACCUUGGUCAAAGAUUUAUCGGUAUGGGAUGGACCCGCGUCUGAUUAGCUAGUUGGUGAGGUAACGGCUUACCAAGGCGACGAUCAGUAGCCGACCUGAGAGGGUGAUCGGCCACACUGGAACUGAGACACGGUCCAGACUCCUACGGGAGGCAGCAGUGGGGAAUAUUGCACAAUGGGCGCAAGCCUGAUGCAGCAACGCCGCGUGAGCGAUGAAGGCCUUCGGGUCGUAAAGCUCUGUCCUCAAGGAAGAAUAAAUGACGGUACUUGAGGAGGAAGCCCCGGCUAACUAC